rnacentral:rRNA from 2 species
UGGAUCCAGACUUUGAUCCUGGCUCAGGAUGAACGCUAGCUACAGGCUUAACACAUGCAAGUCGAGGGGAAACGACAUCGAAAGCUUGCUUUUGAUGGGCGUCGACCGGCGCACGGGUGAGUAACGCGUAUCCAACCUGCCCACCACUUGGGGAUAACCUUGCGAAAGUAAGACUAAUACCCAAUGACGUCUCUAGAAGACAUCUGAAAGAGAUUAAAGAUUUAUCGGUGAUGGAUGGGGAUGCGUCUGAUUAGCUUGUUGGCGGGGUAACGGCCCACCAAGGCUACGAUCAGUAGGGGUUCUGAGAGGAAGGUCCCCCACAUUGGAACUGAGACACGGUCCAAACUCCUACGGGAGGCAGCAGUGAGGAAUAUUGGUCAAUGGACGAGAGUCUGAACCAGCCAAGUAGCGUGCAGGAUGACGGCCCUAUGGGUUGUAAACUGCUUUUAUAAGGGAAUAAAGUGAGUCUCGUGAGACUUUUUGCAUGUACCUUAUGAAUAAGGACCGGCUAAUUCCGUGCCAGCAGCCGCGGUAAUACGGAAGGUCCGGGCGUUAUCCGGAUUUAUUGGGUUUAAAGGGAGCGUAGGCCGGAGAUUAAGCGUGUUGUGAAAUGUAGACGCUCAACGUCUGCACUGCAGCGCGAACUGGUUUCCUUGAGUACGCACAAAGUGGGCGGAAUUCGUGGUGUAGCGGUGAAAUGCUUAGAUAUCACGAAGAACUCCGAUUGCGAAGGCAGCUCACUGGAGCGCAACUGACGCUGAAGCUCGAAAGUGCGGGUAUCGAACAGGAUUAGAUACCCUGGUAGUCCGCACGGUAAACGAUGGAUGCCCGCUGUUGGUCUGAAUAGGUCAGCGGCCAAGCGAAAGCAUUAAGCAUCCCACCUGGGGAGUACGCCGGCAACGGUGCAACUCAAAUGAAUUGACGGA